rnacentral:rRNA from 1 species
GGAGGWWWMAAGCGUUAAUCGGAAUUACUGGGCGUAAAGCGCACSCAGGUGGCUGAGUCAGUCGAUUGUGAAAGCCCUGGGCUUAACCUGGGAAUUGCAGUCGAUACUACUCAGCUAGAGUAUGGGAGAGGGCAGUGGAAUUCCCGGUGUAGCGGUGAAAUGCGUAGAUAUCGGGAGGAACAUCAGUGGCGAAGGCGGCUGCCUGGCCCAAUACUGACACUCAGGUGCGACAGCGUGGGGAGCAAGCAGGAUUAGAUACCCUGGUAGUCCACGCCGUAAACGAUGAGAACUAGAUGUUGGGGGGGAUUAGCCCCUCGGUGUCGUAGCUAACGCGCUAAGUUCUCCGCCUGGGGAGUACGGCCGCAAGGUUG